AAAUAUCUGGUUCUUGUAAUAUCACGGGACGAAACUUCAAAUGUAGAUGUCAGAGCAACAGUAGGAGGGUUACAGGGGACAGCUGUGAGCAGUGUCAAUCCAACCUAUACAGGGAGGAGGAGGAUUUUGGCUGUAACAAGAGUUGUAGUUGUUAUACCAAGGGAACAGAAAAAGGAAAACAACACGAAUGUGAACAGGUUGGAGGACAAUGCACUUGUAAGAGUAACGUGGGGGGUAGAACAUGUAACACCUGUAAACCUCUAUACUACAAUCUGACGGACAGUAACCCAUCAGGUUGUAAUAACUGUAACUGUGGUGCAGCAGUGAGGGAAUGUAAUAAACUUACAGGAAGCUGUACAUGUAAACAGAAUGUAGAGACUAGCUCAGGACGUUGUUUAAAAUGUAACUUCGGAUUCUAUGGGGCCAGCUUAGAUGAUGGAUGUAAGAAUUGUAGUUGUAGCACUUCAGGUGUGAUAGGUGACCCUAGAAACUGUUCAGACUCAGAUGGCCAGUGUAACUGCAAACAAAAA